CCCAUCACAGCAAUGAGUGAGGAGGACAGAGAUGGAUGGAGAAAGACAGGCAUGCAGGCAACACAAUGGCCCAGGAGAGCAGGUAAGCAAACAGGCCAGCAGCCCAGGCAGGUGAGUAAGUGGGUGACCUGGGUGAGUGGGUGGGGCAGAUGGCCCAGGCAGGCAGGUGAGCAAGUCAGCAGGUAGCCCAGGUGAGCAGCAUGGGUGGGUGGCUGACCCAAGUGAGCCACAGAGGAAAAGCAAGGGUAGUCCAGGACAGCCCCCCCAUCAAUCAUCAUGCUCUGCUGUCACUACCCCCUGCUUUCCUCCUCCUUGCCCUCCACCACUGAGACUGAAGCAGUGACACAGGUGUGAGGUGGGCAAUAUGAAUAGCAGACAGGAGGAGGUCUAAGGUGAUUGGUUUGGGAGCAAGCUGUAGGAGCAGAGGUGGUGGUAAUCUGGGUGAGCUGUAAGGACAGUGGGGUGGUUUGGGUGAGAGGUAAGUGGUGGUGGUUUGGGCAAGGUGUAACGGAAGGGGGUGGUUUGGGUGAGCUCAAAGUGGGGUUGGCAAGGUCUAAAGGGUGGGUGCGCAGCCCCUAGGCUAUACAUAUUUGAUUGGAAAUGACAGAAGUGACUGAAAUGACAGGGGAAAAGGAGGACUAUUAAUUCAAAGGUCUGCAGUUAUACCCAUAUCUCUUCAGUGGAGUCUCUUUCUUUCUUUCUUUCUUUCUUUCUUUCUUUCUUUCUUUCUUGGUGGGAGGAGAUAAAUUUCUAUUCUAUGGAAGCUCCCUUGCCCUUUAAUGGGAAAUAUUUAUCCAGUAUAAUACAGCCAUGUUUAAAGAUCAUCCAGAACAACAGGUGUCCCCUUUUACCUAAUGGAAAAUGCAUUCCUCCACUUGUUUAUGCCUUGAUCGCCAAACCUCAAGGUAAAUGAAAAAAUUACUUCUCCACUUCCGUCUGAAGUGUGGGGAGUUAUGGAAACAACAUACAGAGCCUUAUUGUUGCUUUGGGCUUCAUACCACCUAUUGAGUUGCUCAAGUCUGCUGAUUUUCCACACUUGUUACUUAGAUAAAUAGAUGAUUUGAAGAAAAACAACAAACCAUCAGGCAGCAAUACCCAAAGAAACUCCGACAGUAAAACAAGUCUGUUGAUCUACAGGCCCGUGUGACCUUUUGUAUUUGCUGAAACAGCCUGUUUUAAUUACUAAUGGAUACGGUUGCACUCCGAUAAACAUUACUGACAAUUGAAAACAGCACCUUUAUAAGCAAAGGAUUUGUAGAAAUUUAAUCUCUGCAGCUUGAACUCAACUCGGAGUAUUAUAGCAAGAACAAAGUAACCCCUUGAAGAAGUUAAUGGACAACUAAGUGGAAUGGCUACAUGUGUCAUACACUGAGUAAAGAGGGACUGACAAAAACCCAUUAGUGCCUGAAGGGGAAAAGCAAAGGCAGAAAUUCUAUCACUUCCAGAUGAGCCCUCCUUGAAUCUCCCCAAACUCUCUAUUAGAAUGACAGGGAAGAGGGAGGGCUAUUAAUCCAAAGGUCAGUGCAAUUAUACCCAGAUUUCUUUUAUUGAAAAGGCACUGGAAAUUAUCUAGAAUGUGAGUGUUCCGAAUGGAAGAAUUGAUACUUUUAAAAAUCCCAUUUCAGUGGCUUGGUACUGAAAGUAACAAUUCUACCUGUCAUAUGAAAGAUGGGGAGGGGAGAGGGCAAGAAGUAACUUUCCAGUCUAGACUCUGGUUGAACCGCAACGUAAAAAGGAAAAGCACUUGAUUUUCUGUCCCUCAGCACACUUUGGGAAAAUGUUUCACUUAUAUCGCCCUCCAUAUGAAUUCCUCUUCCUUAUCUUGAGUGAUGACAUCAUUAGUUAGCCAAAUUGGGAUUGGCUGUGUGGGAUUGUGACAUCAUCUCCUUCAGUGCAUGGUCUCUGGUUGUUUUUGAGAAUCCCACCUAACUAAUGCAGGAAGUGGCAGCCAGUUACCAAGAUUGGUAUCGAGACACCAACUGUUGUUGUUGUUGUUGUUAAUUUCAUUUCCAUACCACUUCAUAUUUUUAAAAGGGAGGAAUCUCAAAGCGGUUUACAACCUACAUUAAAACAUCAAUGAAAACAAUCCAGAACAAAACAUUACUCAAGAAAGUCAAAUAUAAAGUAUACAUUCAAAGCAACAUAAUUAACAGUUAGGGUUAAGUGAUGAUACUCAAAGGGUGAUUAUUUGUGAGAGCAUUUCUACCUACCAAAAUGAGAAGCUGCUAACCCAAUAUUGAGCUUGGAGACUAUUCAGUACAGCUCUAGACUGAAACUGGACCAUUCGGACUACGAGAUAGAUCACGUCAUUGUAUAAAUGGUGAGAAAACCAGGGAUUCCUGAUUGAAGACCCAUAGGAUCAGAGCCAUCUCAGCAACACAAUUAGAUUCAAGAGCGUUCAUAUGGUUUGUUCUCCUUCUGUCUCCUGCUUCAUCUCUCUUAGUCUUUUAAUCCUGUGGGACGGUUUCUCUUUGCUUGAUCUGAGAACACUGCCGUUUGGGGCCUAUUCCCAGUGCAUGAAAGCACCAUAGCUUGUCCCACCCACCACUCACUGCAAGAGGAGUAGCCAAUGCGACAUCUUCCCAUAGUUGCUGGACCACGUCCCAUCAGCACCAAUCAGCAUGGCCAAUGGUCAGGGAUAAUGGAAGUUGUAGUCCAUAGGUAGGCAAACUAAGGCCUGGGGGCUGGAUCCGGCCCAAUUGCCUUCUAAAUCCAGCCCGCAGACGGUCCAGGAAUCAGUGUGUUUUUACAUGAGUAGAAUGUGUCAUUUUAUUUAAAAUGCAUCUCUGGGUUAUUUGUGGGGCAUAGGAAUUCAUUCAUCCCCCCCAAUAUAGUCUGGCCCCCCACAAGGUCUGAGGAACAGUGGACCGGCCCCCUGCUGAAAAGGUUUGCUGACCCCUGUUGUAGUCCAACAACUUCUGGAGGGCACCAUUAUGGUUUCCCCUGCAUGACAACCUUCUCUGUAGGGAAAGGUAUUGAUGUUGGUAGCUUUAGCCUGCAUCUGGUUGCUGGGAUCUUCCCGGCGGCUGCCAGUGAGGCUUUAGACCCAGUCAUGGCACUGAGGCUCUCCUUGGGGUUUUGGUAAACAGUCAUUGCCCGGAAAUCAGGGCUUAAUUUGAGACGAUGUUGAUGUGAUGCCUUGGCCCAGUAUACCUGAAGGCUUGUCUCCACCCCCAUCGUUCAACCCAGACACUGCGGUCCAGCUCCGAGGCCCUUCUGCUGGUUCCCUCACUGCGAGAAGUGAAGUUACAGGGAACCAGGCAGAGGGCCUUCUCGGUAGUGGCGCCCACCCUGUGGAAUGCCCUCCCAUCAGAGGUCAAGGAAAUAAACAACUUUCUGACUUUUAGAAGACAUCUGAAGGCAGCCCUGUAUAGGGAAGUUUUUAAUGUUUGAUCUUUUAUCGUGUUUUUAAUAUUCUGUUGGGAGCCGCCCAGAGUGGCUGGGGAAACCCAGUCAGAUGGGCAGGGUAUAAAUAAAUUUAUUAUUAUUAUUAUUAUUAUUAUUAUUAUGUCUUACAGAACUCACUGACUUUCAGUGCAGUGUAUCCCCAUGCAGCUGAGCAAGCUUUCAAAACCUAACCUGCCCGAAAGAUGCGAACCUCUUGUAUUUCCUUGAGAUGCCAACAGAUCUGCACUCCAUUUCAUACAAUACGGUGGUAUUGAGAAGAAAGGAUCCUAAUAGAUGUUUGCAAUUUUAAAAAUGAUUUUGCUUAUAAAGUGCCAUGUUCUGAUAACAGGGAUUGGUUUUCAAUAUGAAGACUCCCCCCCUUCCCCCAUCCUUUUGGCAGGAAUCAUGAAAAGACAAUUUUAUACAGAUAGAGCAUAUUUUCCUCAAAUGGCACCGUUGUUGCUUUAUGUGGCCUCUGGCAGCUUCUGACCUGGCACUAAGCCUUUCCCCCCUCACAAAUCAGUCGAGCAUAAUGUUUCCUCCAACUUACCAAGGGACAACAGAAUUAGCUGCAAUCGGGACACUUCUUAUCUCAAAUUUGGAGGACAACAGGAUCAUUUUAGGGCAAGGGCACAACCCAUUACUCAGUAAUUUUCCUGAUUGCAACCAUACCAAAUAAAUAAAUA